UUGCGGCCCAGGGCCCUACCUGUGUCCCUGUUCCUUCAACCACCCUUGGAUCCGGCCAGUCCAAGGUCCCGGCGGCCAGGCGCAGGGAGAGCCCAGGACAAGAGGAGGCACCCGAAGGAGGCCCCCCCGGAGCAUGUGAGGUCAGGGCCUUGGGCUCACGAGGUCAGGGUUCACACCCCAGCCUCCCCAGCUGCCCUGGAGCAGUCGACCUCUCCAGACCUCGGCUUUGUCAUCUGAGGCUAAGAGAACCAGUGCUCUGAGGUCUCAGGUCUCGGGACACGCCAGCCAUCACCACGGCUGGGCCAGGGGCCCUUGCUUGGUGCCUCUGUCACCUUCACAAGGACCUGUGAGCUUCGCACGUCCUCCCCGCCUCCCAGGUGCGGUGACCAGAGCUUUACAGGCUUGAUGUUUUUAGCGUCUUGCUGGUGUCUAGUGGCAGGGACUGAACGGAAACCAUGUCCCCCAGACCACAAAGAGCUCGGACCUGCACGGAAGAACUGAGACAGGAUUUUAGGUGUGAGGCCAGACCCUAGGGUGUCUUCCAGGCCCAGCUUUGAGGCUGUCUAUACCCAGACAGUAUCCAGUCUUGUCGGCAGAGGGUCAGAGAGGUUCAGCGAUUUGCCUGGUGUCACACAGCUUGUCACCACCACACCAAUGGGCUCACUCCUGAUGGGGCGGACUCAGGGCAGGGGGCAGCUUCCUGUCCCCAGGGCCUGCUCCGUCUCUGCGUGGGGGGACCUGCGUGCCAAUCUUAAUGGCGGAUGGAGAGCACAGCUGGCAGGGAAGGGCAGGGCAGCCUCUGGCAGGGCUGGCGAGGGCUCUGCUUUCCCCCUGCUGCUCCUCAAGCCCUCCAGAUGAUUCUAACGUGCAGCCACAGUGAAGAACCUGUGGUUCCCGUGCUCUUUAAAUAACUGUCGGGUAUUGAACGGUGGCAUUUCAAAAGCACGGAGAGGCUGACUGCAAGGGCGGAGGGGAGGGGGCAUUUAUUGAGCAGCGGCUACGUCCCCGUCCCCGGCGAUGCUCUGGGGACCCUGGCCCAGGUGCGUGUUAGCCUAGCAAAGUGGACAUGAGACCCAGAGCAACGAGGUGGAGCCCCAGGGGGAGAAUGUGACCCUGCUUUCUGGUACCUUCUAGCAAGAGCAAGACCCAGACCCGUGGCCAUUUCCUCUCCCUCCCUCCAUCCGCUGAGUUAAUGCAAACUGGCAGGGGUGGGGAUGGUGGGGGGGAGGGGGGGCUUCGGGGCACCACUGGCAGCCCGCCCGGGCCGCCCACACCCCCUGCCCCCGCAGCCCCGGGCAGGAAACCACCAACGUGCUCAUGAAAGAGGCGGGCGCAGCUGCUGUUAACAGGUGAGCCCUCCGCGCGCUGGCCUCUCCCAGGGCCUCCUGGAGAAAUCGGUAAUGAAGUGCAGCUGUGAACUCCGGUUUUGGGUCAGAAAGGCAAUUUCUCAUCUCUCCUCACAGCAAUUGAGUCGAAAAUCCGGGAGCUGUUUGCCUCUCUGGUGCCCCCGCCCCUGGGCCCUGGCGGCCGGAGCUCGGGUCUGGGAGGCGGGCAUCAAUAUUGCCGCUGUCAGAGGCAGGUGGCCGGGCGCGGGAGGGAGCGGCCCCGCGGGGCUGGCGAGGUGGGAGCGGGGAGCAGCUGGCCGGGGUGCGCUGGGGGAUCCGAAGGCUGUUUUUCCUCUCGUUUUAAUUGGUCUUUGUGACUCUAAUGGUGCCCACUUCACCUCGUGGCUGCGUGCUGGCCGGGGGCUCCCACGGCGCACCCGUUGGAGGCUUUGGGGAGGCGCCCGGCAGCUGUUGCCGCCUCACCGAUGCUCCUGGUGGUGCUGGGCCUGGAAGGGCCUGGGAAACAAAGCUCAGGGUGCCAUGGGGUUGGGGAGCCCUGACUUCCAGAGCAGGCCCCGUCAUGCCACCUUCACCGCAGCGUCACCCGAGCAGCCGCUUUUCCUAAGGCCGGAUGACGGGAGAAACGCUGGCAAGUAAGAUUGAUUGGAGACGUGAGCCCAGCAGGGACCCCUCUCCUCUCUCAGGAAUAGGCUUUGGAAGCCUCAUUGCCUUAGUUCCGCCCGGCUAAGAGUCACUCGCUGAACACGGAGCACCUGGGCUGAGUGGUUUGGGUCCGGGCUCUGGGGCCCCACGUGCCCGGCUCUGCAUUGCCGCUGUGUGACCUUGGAGUGUGGGCUUGACUUCGCUGAACCUGCCUCCUGCAGAAUGUAGCAGUGGCACUUGAAGGGCCGCUUCGAGGAUCCGAUGGUGACAACACGUGGAAAGACAGAAAAGUGGGCCACGAUGCUGCAGGUCUGUUUUCUGUCCCUCUGUCUUCGCCUUUGCUGGACGUCGUAGGAGGCUUUCAGCAGGAAAGAGAGACCAUUGGCCUGUGUGAGCUCUUUGAGGGCACCGAUCCCGUCGGGUGAGCCCCAUUCGUGGGACCUCAUCUAACCUACCACCUUCCAAAUGCCCCCCCUCCAAAGACCAGGGCACGGGGCGGGGGGGAUAGGGCUUCACCGGCCCAGCAGGGGCACAAACACUCAGUCUGCAACAGCAUCUCACGACGCUCUUGUGAAGCUUGUGGUGUCAUUGUCGCGUCUGGUGGCUGAUGACAUGGGAGCCCUGGGCUGGUGCUGCCAGCCGCCUCCCUGCAGGCCAUGCAGCCCACGAGGCCAUGGAAGAGGCCCUCCCUGCCUUUCUCCCCCUUUGGGGUCCCUGCAAGACCGGGGCCCACGUGCCCUAAGGAAGACGAGUGCGCGCCCGCGGACCCGUCUCCCAGCACCAGGUCCGACCUUGGCGGCAGAUGCCUCUUUGUCCGCGCCGAGCCCCAUGGCCAGCUCGAAUAAUUGGAUUUUAAUAAAACGGAUGGGAGCGCGGGAGCAGUUCACCACCCUGGCCUGUGCCGAGGCCCUGCAAUUAAACCGAUUAUGUCUUGAGAGUCAAGCUGUCUGACUCGAGGCCCUAAUUUGGCAGCGCUGGCCAGCUCUGCCAGCGCGGUUGUUUAUUUAUUUACCCGACUUUCGCAGGCUGGGACACGCUGGGGGCCGGGGUGAUUAACGUGGGGUGGUGAGCCGGGCUCUGGGUCCCUGUGUUCCCACCCUGGCCACCCACCGCUCCCUCCUCUGUGCACAGCAUCCGGGUCCUGGCAGCUCAGGGGACCCCUGGAGACUUAAAACACGGAGGCCGGGACCUCCCCUCCCCCAGGGUGUGACAUAGCUACCUUGGGCUGUUGUCUGGCCCCCGGGGAGUUUUCAAAUCUCUCCAGGUGAGCGUGACAGGCAGCCCCAACCUAAGGCGACAGAUCCUUCUGGAAACCCAGAUUGCAUGUGGCCUCCUUCCCUGGACCCACUGGGCUCCCAUGGGCGCAAGAUGCACCCCCAGGAAGGCCCGUGGUCGUCUCCUCCUUACGGGGUCCCGGGGAAGGGUCUGGACACAGGGACCCUCCUACAGACGCUGUCAGAAACAUCUGGUGGGGCGAUGCUGGUGUUUUUCCAGGUCUGGAGUUUGCAUUUUCUCUCCCCGUUUAUUUUCUUAAUAAACACCCAGUGCCUCCUUUCCGCCAGCUGCUCUGUUGGUGCUGGGCGGGUGAGGACCCCUGGCUGAGGGCAGGAGGCUGCUCCGUGGCUCCCCUGCCCUGCGGGCAUCAAGGGUCCUGGCUGGAGUCCUUUGCCUUCUCUGGGGGUGUGUUCAGCAAUCCCCCCCACACCAUGUCCCCUCGAUUGUGUGUUUUGGGCUUCAUGCCCCCGCCAAGAGGUGGCUGAGUGCACCUGGUGGUUCUGGGCUCAGACCCCAGGUCAGGACCUCGGACGAGGCACAAACUCCUGAGCCCGGUCUGGUAUGUGGAGGCGGUGGGUAAGCAACCCCAAGGGAGCCCCUCUGGUUCCCACAUUGGAAGAAGGUUCUGGAUUUUGGCGUCAUCAGCAUCACUGAUCGGGGGGGGAAGGGAAGCCGUUUGGGGGAGCUCUUCUGUGAAGCCGUGGGGGUGGGGGCCCUGGGCAGCUCGCCCACCCUCUGCGCCCGUGGCCUUCCGCAGCCCCUCCUCACAGGCUGCGGGGACAGCUCCGUGCGCGGACGCAUGUGCAGGAAGGCCCGGCCAGAGCGCGCGGCAAGCGCCAGGUGGUGGGUAAUUGUGAUGAAUAGGGGUGGAGGUGGCACGCAGGCUGGCAGCCAGCCAUGGAGGGGCUGCCUGGGGAGGGCUGGGCCCCGAGCUCAGGUGGGAGAGCAGC